AUGGGCGAAAGCCUGAUGCAGCGACGCCGCGUGAGGGAUGACGGCCUUCGGGUUGUAAACCUCUUUCAGUAGGGAAGAAGCGAAAGUGACGGUACCUGCAGAAGAAGCGCCGGCUAACUACGUGCCAGCAGCAUCGGUAAUACGUAGGGCGCAAGCGUUGUCCGGAAUUAUUGGGCGUAAAGAGCUCGUAGGCGGUUUGUCGCGUCUGCUGUGAAAGCCCGGGGCUCAACCCCGGGUCUGCAGAAGGUACGGGCAGACUAGAGUGCAGUAGGGGAGACUGGAAUUCCUGGUGUAGCGGUGAAAUGCGCAGAUAUCAGGAGGAACACCGAUGGCGAAGGCAGGUCUCUGGGCUGUUACUGACGCUGAGGAGCGAAAGCAUGGGGAGCGAACAGGAUUAGAUACCCUGGUAGUCCAUGCCGUACACGUUGGGCACUA
rnacentral:rRNA from 1 species